AUUGAACGCUGGCGGCAGGCCUAACACAUGCAAGUCGAGCGGAUGAAGGGAGCUUGCUCCUGGAUUCAGCGGCGGACGGGUGAGUAAUGCCUAGGAAUCUGCCUGGUCGUGGGGGAUAACGUCCGGAAACGGGCGCUAAUACCGCAUACGUCCUGAGGGAGAAAGUGGGGGAUCUUCGGACCUCUCGCUAUCAGAUGAGCCUAGGUCGGAUUAGCUAGUUGGUGGGGUAAAGGCCUACCAAGGCGACGAUCCGUAACUGGUCUGAGAGGAUGAUCAGUCACCCUGGAUGUGAGACACGGUCCAGACUCCUACGGGAGGCAGCAGUGGGGAAUAUUGGACGAUGGGCGAAAGCCUGAUCCAGCAAUGCCGCGUGUGUGAAGAAGGUCUUCGGAUUGUAAAGCACUUUAAGUUGGGAGGAAGUGCAGUAAGUUAAUACCUUGCUGUUUUGACGUUACCAACAGAAUAAGCACCGGCUAACUUCGUG
rnacentral:rRNA from 1 species